UUGUUUUUGACUCAGAGAAGUGAAGUGACAUAGUUAAUGUCAAGCUGGCAAGUGGCAAUAUCUCUUUGGGAAGGAGCUUUCAGGUUGGGAGGAUUUGAUUAUUGAAGACAACAGAAGAUGGUACUUAAGGCUUUGGCUCUGGAAAAAGAGAUACCUGGAUUCUGAUCCUGAUGCCUCUCACUUAAACUCUACAAGCCUCACUUUCUCAACAGUACUUUAAUCAGCAUUUAAUGACCCAGUCGAAAAUUCAUCGUUUGGACCCAAGUACUGGUGGGAAAGGCGGGAGGGGAGGCCUGCCUUCCUCUCUCCCUCCCGAGCCCUACAGCAGGCCAUGGAGUGCCAUGCCUGAACUGGACACCCUUCCAUACCAACCCAGGAAAAAGUGAUUCAGCUCCGGUCUACCCUGGGUGCAGCGGUCCUUCUGCCAAGAUGCCUUCAUGUCAUACAGCUAUUAUUUUCGGGAGGGUUCCAAGUGAGGGCAGUCAGGGUAAGUGCCUCUCACCAGCUUCCUGCUCAGACCAUUGCUCCACAUACCCUAGCUCAUAAAUCCUGCCCCAACC
rnacentral:lncRNA from 1 species